rnacentral:rRNA from 1 species
GCUAACUUCGUGCCAGCAGCCGCGGUAAUACGAAGGGUGCAAGCGUUAAUCGGAAUUACUGGGCGUAAAGCGUGCGUAGGUGGUUGUUCAAGUCUGUCGUGAAAGCCCUGGGCUCAACCUGGGAAUGGCGAUGGAAACUGGGCGACUGGAGUGCGGUAGAGGAUGGCGGAAUUCCCGGUGUAGCGGUGAAAUGCGUAGAGAUCGGGAGGAACAUCCGUGGCGAAGGCGGCCAUCUGGACCAGCACUGACACUGAGGCACGAAAGCGUGGGGAGCAAACAGGAUUAGAUACCCGUGUAGUC